GAGGAACCUGCGUCUGAUUAGCUAGUUGGUAGGGUAAAGGCCUACCAAGGCGAUGAUCGGUAGCUGGUCUGAGAGGAUGAUCAGCCACACUGGGACUGAGACACGGCCCAGACUCCUACGGGAGGCAGCAGUGGGGAAUAUUGGACAAUGGGGGCAACCCUGAUCCAGCAAUGCCGCGUGUGUGAAGAAGGCCUGAGGGUUGUAAAGCACUUUCGGAGGGGAGGAAGGCGUUUCGUCGAAUAGGCGAAAUGAUUGACGUUACCUUCAGAAGAAGCACCGGCUAACUCUGUGCCAGCAGCCGCGGUAAUACAGAGGGUGCAAGCGUUAAUCGGAAUUACUGGGCGUAAAGGGUGCGUAGGUGGAUAAAUAAGUUGGACGUGAAAGCCCCGGGCUCAACCUGGGAUGGUCGUCCAAUACUGUUUGUCUAGAGUAUGGUAGAGGGUGGUAGAAUUUCCGGUGUAGCGGUGAAAUGCGUAGAUAUCGGAAGG
rnacentral:rRNA from 1 species